GGAGGGGAUCUCUCCCUGCCUAGCACCCUGAUCCAAUCCCAUCUGGAGAGCUGUGGUCAAUUUGGGGCGCAGCAUUUUAGGAAGGAGGUUGACAAGCUGGAGAACUACUACGAUAGUGAAGGGCAUCUCUUGUCUGUCUGGCUCUCUGGGUCUCUGUCUGGCUGUCUCUGUCUCUCUAUUUCUCUAUCUCUGUCUUUGUCUCUGUCUUUCUGUCUAUCUUUGUCUCUGUCUGUCUCUGUCUCUCUAUUUCUCUAUCUCUGUCUUUGUUUGUCUGGGUCUCUAUCUUUGUCUCUGUCUCUCUUUAGCUGUUUCUCUGUCUUUCUGUCUGUCUCUGUCUCUGUCUCUGUCUUUGUCUUUCUCUCUGUCUCUGUCUUUGUCUCUGUUUCUCUGUGUCUCUCUGUCUUUCUUUGUCUUUGUCUAUCUGUCUCUGUCUGCCUCUGUCUUUCUGUCUGUUUCUCUGUCUCUGUCUUUCUUUGUCUCUCUCUGUGUCUGUCUCUGAGUUUGUCUGUUUCUCUGUUUCUGUUUUUUUCUCUGUUUCUCUGUCUCUGUCUUUCUGUCUGUCUCUGUCUGUUUGUCUCUUUCUCUGUCUUUCUGUCUUUGUCUUUGUUUGUCUCUCUUUUUCUCUAUCUCUGUCUUUCUGUCUGUUUGUCUGGGUCUCUGUCUUUGUCUCUGUCUCUCUUUCUCUCUGUUUCUCUAUCUCUGUCUUUCUGUCUGUCUCUGUCUUUCUGUCUGUCUCUCUGUCUGUCUUUGUCUCUGUUUCUGUGUCUUUCUGUCUGUCUCUCUGUCUUUCUAUCUUUGUCUUUGUCUGUCUCUGUCUGCCUCUGUCUCUCUGUUUCUCUGUCUCUGUCUUUCUCUGUCUCUCUCUUUUUCUCUAUCUCUGUCUUUCUUUCUGUCUGUCUCCAUCAUUGUCUCUCCCUGUCUGUCUCUCUGCUGAACUUAAUGCAAGCACCUGAUUGGCUCAGCACUCUGGGGCUGAGUGCUGGAACAGGGGAGCCUCUCCUGUUGCUAAGAUUCCCCAGGAUGCUCUGCCAUGGGCACUCAACGGUUUCUCUCCAUCAUUCUGAGUUCUUUGCUCUGCAAACUUGGGUUUGA
rnacentral:lncRNA from 1 species